rnacentral:rRNA from 1 species
GAUGAACGCUGACAGAAUGCUUAACACAUGCAAGUCGAUGGGGAAGUGGUGCUUGCACCAUGGUAACCAUGGCGGACGGGUGAGUAACGCGUACGGAACUUGCCUGCGGGACUGGGAUAACAGCAGGAAACUGCUGAUAAUACCGGAUAAGGUCAUUAAGCUGCAUAGCUUAGUGAUGAAAGGAGACGCCUGCGGAGAGCCUUGCGUCCUAUUAGCUAGUUGGAGGGGUAACGGCCCACCAAGGCGAAGAUAGGUAGCCGGCCUGAGAGGGUGGACGGCCACAAGGGGACUGAGAUACGGCCCUUACUCCUACGGGAGGCAGCAGUGGGGAAUAUUGGACAAUGGGGGCAACCCUGAUCCAGCAAUUCUGUGUGCACGAAGACGGUUUUCGGAUUGUAAAGUGCUUUCAGCAGGGAAGAAGGAAGUGACGGUACCUGCAGAAGAAGCGACGGCUAAAUACGUG